GGAAUGUGGCAGCAUUUCAUGUCCUUUGUAUUGCAAGUGGAAUUUGAAGAAUUCUUAGAUGUAAUAUUGAAUGUUGUAGUUAUGAUGCUAUUGCUAGAAUGCAUUUCUUUGUCAUUUUUGCAGACCAUGUAUUGCUAUAAAAGAAUAGUGUAUAUAGCCAUGAACAAUACAAUGGCAGUGUUGUAUUUUAGUCUCUUCUGCUGAAUAUUCUCUUUAUUUCUCUCUAAAAUUGAGACUUUUUUUUUUUCUCUUUUGCAGGCUACAUUUACCGACAUUCUGAAGAAACUUGCCAAACAAUUUGAUAUGGAUCUGGCCCCAAGAAAGGCAUUUAUAAAGCUCAUGAUUCAGGAAGAGCUGACAAAACUAGCUGAUGAAGCGGAUGAAGAAAACGAAGACGAUGCAGUUAAAGAUGAGGCCCUAUCUACAGGCCAGAAGGUUGAAGCUUGAUUGAUGAGUAGUCCUGAGUACUUGGUGAUAGUUUUGGCUAUGUAUACUAUAACCUUAGUUAUGUUGCUUCAUCUGUACAUUUUGUUGAGUGAAAGUGGCAGUAACAUAUCCAAUAUGAAGAGAUAAAACUUGUAUUUGUCAAUUUAGGCUUUGGUCCGCUGCCACUUGUUUAUACAUAAACAGAAUCUGUAGGGUUUGUACUAUUGAUGAAUACUACUGACCAAAGCUACACUAGUCUU